rnacentral:misc_RNA from 1 species
CAAAAAGAGUUGUAACAGACUCGCCAACCCUCUGUGAACCUACCUAAACAUUGCUUCGGCGGGCAGCCCCAGGGCGGGGCCGCCGCCUCCCGCAGAGGGAGGUGCCCGCCAGAGGCCCACACCAAACUCUUGUUUUCAGUCGUAUUCUGAGUCACAAAAAAAAUAAUCA